GACGAACGCUGGCGGCGUGCUUCAUACAUGCAAGUCGAACGAGAAGCAGGAGCUUGCUCCUGUGGAAAGUGGCGGACGGGUGAGUAACACGUAGGAAAUCUGCCUUUGGGUGGGGGACAACAGUUGGAAACGACUGCUAAUACCCCAUAUGAGCUUGGUUGCAAUACCAAUCUUGAAAACUCCGGUGCCUAAAGAUGAGCCUGCGUCUGAUUAGCUUGUUGGCGGGGUAAUGGCCCACCAAGGCGACGAUCAGUAGCUGGUUUGAGAGGAUGAUCAGCCACAAUGGGACUGAGACAUGGUCCAGACUCCUACGGGAGGCAGCAGUGGGGAAUCUUGCACAAUGGGCGAAAGCCUGACGCGGCAAUGCCGCGUGAGGGAAGACGGCCUUAGGGUUGUAAACCUCUUUCAGCAGGGACGAACACAGACGGUACCUGCAGAAGAAGCCCCGGCUAACUACGUGCCAGCCGCCGCAGUAA
rnacentral:rRNA from 1 species